AGUGAACGCUGGCGGUAGGCCUAACACAUGCAAGUCGAACGGCAGCACAGUAAGAGCUUGCUCUUACGGGUGGCGAGUGGCGGACGGGUGAGGAAUACAUCGGAAUCUACUUUUUCGUGGGGGAUAACGUAGGGAAACUUACGCUAAUACCGCAUACGACCUACGGGUGAAAGCAGGGGAUCUUCGGACCUUGCGCGAUUGAAUGAGCCGAUGUCGGAUUAGCUAGUUGGCGGGGUAAAGGCCCACCAAGGCGACGAUCCGUAGCUGGUCUGAGAGGAUGAUCAGCCACACUGGAACUGAGACACGGUCCAGACUCCUACGGGAGGCAGCAGUGGGGAAUAUUGGACAAUGGGCGCAAGCCUGAUCCAGCCAUACCGCGUAGGUGAAGAAGGCCUUCGGGUUGUAAAGCCCUUUUGUUGGGAAAGAAAGGCAGCAGGUUAAUACCCCGCUGUUCUGACGGUACCCAAAGAAUAAGCACCGGCUAACUUCGUG
rnacentral:rRNA from 1 species